rnacentral:lncRNA from 1 species
AUUUUUUUUAAAUAAAAGCGAGAUGUCGUAUAAGGUAAUAGAAAGUUGUUAAGUAGCUAGUUACCGAACGUAGAAAGUGAAUAAAUCUUAAAAUUUACAAUAAUUAUGUUUUAGAAACUAUAAUAAAGUUGACAGUGAAUUUACUCUGUACUUUUUUUUUAAAACAAUUUCCUCUAGAGUCGUGUGUCGGAAUUUAUCGCGUAACCGUGACCGAUCGCUGUCUCUGCUAGGAUACUCCCCGAUAUCUAAAAAUAGUUUAACGUAUCUGUUCGUAUACUUAGAAGUGGCUUAAAAGUACGUUUAAAGAUAUAGUUUCAACUCACCUUAAGACCUUCCGUUCUGUUUGUUCCCGUAGAAUUAUCGAAACGCCUGUUUGGCAAAUUGCCCACCAGGGGAUGUACGGGUUCACAAUAUAAUGGGGCGCCUCUAGCGGCGACCGUAUGGCAGAACCGCAGUGCUGCCAGAGAGAGGAUCGUAGUGGGUGAAUGUGCAUGCUUCGGACGCGAACGGUAAACCGUUAUGUCGGAUAAACAGAGGAAAAUGAACGGGAACUCGACGGAAAAGGGAUCCUUCACCAACCUGAAGGUAAAAUGUGUCAAUUAUUUUAUAAACGAGUAUCCAGUACCACUUGGAAACACAACGCGGGUUGGCGAAAAAAUCCAUUUAGCGAGUUUUCCUAUCGCCACUCGUGUCCUGCGGGGAAGUGCCAUUAAGUCGAAGCUCAUAGACUAACAAUUCCGAAAAGAUUAGGAUUGAAGGAAGUAAACAAAAGAUUAAGUGUUUAGGAGAUUAGUCGUUGACUCCUGGAUGUAUAUAAAUAUAAACGAAACUCGGGGAAUUAUCAAGUAUACUAUAUAGAUGCGCACCCGUUCCUACUACAUAAAUGCAGUAUUAUCGAACACACACAAAAUAACCUUACACUUAAUGAAACUUUCGAAAAUGUCGAACUUUAUAGCAUAAAUUCUAAAUCCAAUAAAAUUUUCUGACAAUGUACAGCAAUCUAGUGUUGAUUUUUAUUAGCAUUAUUCUCUACAUAGAUCGUUAUGGUUUUCAUAAGAUAAAGUC